UUUGAUAGAUCAGCAGUAAAUUUGAAGGAUUACAUUUAUUAUCCAUCUGGUGGACAGUGUCCUAUUUCUACUAAAUUUUCUGGACAAAUAAGGAUCCUGUGAUGAGGUUCUGAGGCUCACGCCCAUAAUCCUAGCUCUUCGGGAGGCCAACGCGGGAGGAUUAUUUGGGUCCAGAAGAUGGAGACUAGUCUGGGAAACAUGUGAGACCCCACCUUUACCAAGGUUUUUUUAAAAAUAUUAACAGGUGGCAUGCACCUGUUUUCCUCUCUACUUGGAAGGCUUAGGCAGGGGGAUUGCCUCAGCUCAGGAGUUUGAAGCUGCAAUGAACUAUGAUCUCACCAUUGUACUCCAGCCUGGAUGACAGAACAAGACCUUGUCUCUAAAAAAACAAAAAUGAAAAAUUAUUUCAAGUAUUAUUCAUAACAUAUUGAAACCAUGUUCUGGUUGGUUUAUGAUAUAUGAAUGAAUAAAUAUCUUUCAAACAUAGGUAUUUUAAAUUAU
rnacentral:lncRNA from 13 species